rnacentral:misc_RNA from 1 species
GAUGAAGAACGUAGCGAAAUGCGAUAAGUAAUGUGAAUUGCAGAAUUCAGUGAAUCAUCGAAUCUUUGAACGCACAUUGCGCCCUCUGGUAUUCCGGGGGGCAUGCCUGUUCGAGCGUCAUUAUAACCACUCAAGCUCUCGCUUGGUAUUGGGGUUCGCGGUUUCGCGGCCCCUAAAAUCAGUGGCGGUGACUGUCGGCUCUACGCGUAGUAAUACUUCUCGCGAUUGAGUUCGAUAGGUCUACUUGCCAGUAACCCCCAAUUUUUACAGGUUGACCUCGGAUCAGGUAGGGAUACCCGCUGAACUUAAGCAUAUCAAUAAGCGGAGGA